UUAACUCAAAUUGGUAUGGAGUUGGAGCGUUUGCCUACGUUUGCCGCUAGGGGCGCUGUACCAACCGCAUACAAAUUUGAGUUA
rfam:Bombyx mori DNA, contig: Bm_scaf32_contig19937, strain: p50T/Dazao, build 2, whole genome shotgun sequence.